rnacentral:lncRNA from 1 species
CUAUUUAACCGCUUAUUAAUAAUAAAGUACGUUCAGAUUGUCGGAUCGUUGGCGCUAACCAUUAAUCCCAAAAGCUCGAGCUGUUAGAAAUACGCAAUUAAUUCACUUAAAGCGUACAGAAACAGCGCCCAUGGAUCUCGAUUGUGUCUCGGCCCACCUGGCCUCACGCCACUUUGAACAUGACUCGGUCCAAUCCAGCCUCACGCCAUUUCGAAUAUGACUCGGCCCACAUGGCCUCCCGCCACAGGGCAGGAUGCUGACCCAUUUAAGCCAACAAUCCCCCCUCCAGCAUCUGGACAUAUUUGCAGCAUCCAGAAAUCGAACCUGUGACCUCUGGUUCUGAUACCACUUGUCAGAUCGUUGGCGUUAACCAUUAAUCCCAAAAGCUUGAGCUGUUAGAAAUACGCAACCAAUUCACUUAAAGCGUAUAGAAACAGCGCCCACGGGUCUCGAUUGUGACUCGGUCCACCUAGCCUCACGCCACUUCGAACAUGACUCGGCCCAACCCAGCCUCACGCCAUUUCGAACAUGACUCGGCCCAUAUGGCCUUCCGUUACAGGGCAGGAUGCCGGCCCAUUUAAGCCAACACAGAUCUGAUUGUGUAUUUUUUACAACACGUGU